GAAAAACAUGUAACCCUUUAAGAUGGUCAUUGCAUCAUGCAGGUUGCGUCUCUUCGUGGCUCCAAUCUUAUUGAGGUAGUAGUGCUACUUAAAUCAUCCAUAAUUUUCCUUUUUAUAUAUUUUUUUGGUCUCUUAAACAUAAUUUCUAAUGUUUUAUCAUUCUUUACUUGUGGAAUUAACCAUCAACUUAGUCUCCAAACAAUCACUCUUUUUCCAAUUUAGUCUCCAAAAUAGUCCGUAAAGUGUAUGUAACGUCAAUUUAGUCUCCAACAUCUUAAUAACAGGGAUUGAAUUGACAGAUUUUAUACACUUUAAAACUAAAUUGAUGGUGUAUUUUUUACUUGUGUGUAUAUAGUUCUUAUCAAUCCUUCCAUUUUGAUUUUCUUCAAGGUUAUUGAUGCACGUGGCGAGAAAUCAUUAGUUCUAUUUCCGCAGCAUUAUUAAGAGGUUGGUUGGUAAUACCGGCAGCAUUGUAGUCUCGUUACUCUCGUAGCACAACGAUUUAGAUGUUGCUCUUGCAGCAGAGUGAGUUUUGUCUCCAUCCAUGGUCCAUACCAUUUCAAUGUAUGGUGUAAGCAAUAUAUGAAGGAAGUGAAAGGUGGAUUUAACCAUCAAGUGUUACCAGAAAAGCCAAAGAGAGGCAGAGUUAGAUUUGGUAUGAGCUCUCACAUUUCGUAAGAGUAACCAAGAACAUUUUCAAACAAUGUUUUGAGAAUAAAAAUUGGUAUAUGAUUUUUCAGUAGCAUCAGAUUGCUUAUGACAUACUCCAUCUUUUUAACUUCUAUUCCAGGACUAAUGCCAUUAAAUGGUAUCGGUAUAUCUAAAUCCAACUUCGAUUCACAAAUGAUAAGUUCCAACGAAAACAUGGUUGUAGCCAGAUUAUCAGGAGACAAUAAGAAAUCUCUGAAGGAGGCUACAUAAAAGUUUUGGUUUACUCUCAUUACUUCCCAUCGAGGUUUUUGCAAAGAUGGGAAGUUAUUUCAUCAAAAUUCUUAGAUUCUCAGUGUUUAUAGUCAAAUUGCAAACUUUAAUCGUUUAGUUAUAAUAAGCUGUUCUGUAUGUACAUAUUAACUUCACACAUUCUUCACAUUUUCAUGUGAAUUAUUUGAGAAUAUUAUUUGGUUAUGUAUGU
rnacentral:lncRNA from 1 species